AGUGCAAUUGCUGGAUCAUAUGGUAAUUCUAUGCAUAAUUUUUUGAGGAAUUGCCAUACUGUUUUACAUAGUGGCUAUACCAUUUUAUAUUUCCACCAGCAAU
rnacentral:pre_miRNA from 1 species